rnacentral:lncRNA from 1 species
UCCACAGAGGAUCUCUUUGAGGUGGUGAUGGGUGGAUUUAAGCUUUUCCUCAAUGUCAUUUGAUUUUUAAAUUCUUUUUUGAGUUCUUCUGUAGAUUCUUACUUCAUUGUCCUCUGAAGAUGAAUCCUAUUCUUCCCUGUUCCCAUAGAAAAGUUCUGUGGUUCGGUUUGUUCUUUCCCAGUUAAUUUUUUUUUUUUUAAUGAGACGUUUACCUCUAAUUGUGGAGUUGGGGAGAUGGUGCCUCUAGUUUCACUUCACCUUUCCCCUCUAACCUGAACCCCCAAACCAAAAGCUCUCCAUUCCUGCCUCUGCCUUCCCGAUAUACACUGGGUUGGGUCCUUCUCACCCAGGGCCACCCUUGCAGCGCAGAUGGGCCUGGUAUUCCUCAUCAGCCCCAUUCCCAGUCAAGGAGGUGAAGUGCCUGUGGUUCCUCCUGAGGUUCCAGCCACAGCCAGCUCUCCCCAGGGGGCCCUGCUGGUGUCUCUGAAGCUAGCCCAAAGGUAUUUCCACUGCCCACAGGUUAAUUGCUCCCUGGCUUGGGAUUUUGUGCUGGGGCAGCCCCUUUUCUGCCCCAAGUCUUACUGAUUUUCACCAGUCUCUUCUAUUUGUGGGGAAAACCUAAAGAAAUUGAAAAUUACUGAUCUUUGCCAUCUUCCCAGAAUCCUCUUCUUUCAUAGUUUUAAUUCUUGGCUUUACUUUUGCUAUCGAGCUUGGAAUCUUAACAAGGAACGUGACUCUUUCGUUGGGUUCUGUUUCUUCAUCUUUUACCUGCUGAAAGUGCUAGUGAUUUGGGGUCAGAAGCUUCCGGGCAUCAUGUAACCCCUAGCCCUACACUCCUUUCCUUAGAGGCUCGUCACAUUGUAACUAAAACCACUGUAACCACCAAGAGGCAGUGAAGUACAUUUGAAGGCUGAAUCUGGACCCAGAGGAUCCAAGUUCAGGUCUCACCCAGAUUCUCAGGUCAGUCAGGUAGCAUCUCAGUUUUAGCUCCCUCAUCUGAUGGAAGGAACUGGACUAAAUCCUAACUUGUGGGUGGGAGUAGAGGUUUAUAGGUUUCUGUAUUUUUGUCUUUUAAAUAAAGAAAAAUAAAGAGGAAGCUUCAGGUGACAAUUUUCUGUAAUUCUAGUAUAGACCAUUUUAAAUAUGAAUUUAGCAUUUGAACUGCUUUUAAAAGCAUGGGGAAAUGAAACUGGACAGGUGAGCUAAAGUCUCAGACAUUCAGAAGUGUCAAUGGGUUACAUAGGCAGCCCCACUGAAGCUUUCCCAGGUAAAGCUCUCAAAGUCUGUUCUAAUCCAUUCUCUCUUUGGCC